CCUCUCCACAGGCUGUUAGAUUUUCUUGCCGAUGUGUUGUUGACGGUGUUGACAAAGGAGGGCUGCUGCUUCUCCUCUGUCAUAAGCGUCCGUGUUUCUGUUAAUAAAAAGAAGAGGUGAAACAAUGGAGGAUAACGGAAGGAUGAGGGGUGCUUGCCGCUGGUUAAUAAAAGUCCUCCCACCGCUAUCCUCGCCUUGGCUGAAGUGGCGGAGAGCUAUUGCCGCGUCGAACCCUUUUCUCACUACGUUCUGCUUGCAAGGAUGGAGUUUGUUCACUGGAGGCUGGCCAGCGAGGGAUUGCUUUAUUAAGACUCUUCCUGUUGGCUCUUUGUGCUCUCAGCGGGUUUGUGGCGCCGCCCUGCUUGAAGUGCCCGAGGCCGCUCCUGCUCCUGCUUCUGCUGCUGUGCUUUGCUUGCUGCUGCCGCUUCCUCUGCUUCUGCUAACCUUCCCUCGCUCGCUCCCUCACUUGAUGCGUUCUGUGGAAAGACGGCAAACCUCACCCACCUGGCUGUCCUGCGUGCUCUCCAGAAGGCGCAACGACGUCCGUGUCCUGCCCUGCCCUGCCCUGUCUUGAAAGAAGACUGCUCAAGAUAAAUUUAUUUUCAGAUGUAUGGUGUGGUGUGUUGUGGAGCCUGUCGGAUGUCCAGAGUUGCCUGCCCUGGUGGAACAAGACGCCCAAACUGUGGGGAAGAAAGGAAGAAAUUAAACAAGAUACAUACACAUCAUGGAGCAUUUUCAUUGGGUUCAAAUCCCAGCCCGAGCAGUUGCCUGAGGUGUUUAUCCUCACUACAUUACCAAUUAUCUCUAUGUACAUGUAAGAAUUCAAAUAAACAUUGCGGACAUAAGAAUCAG